rnacentral:lncRNA from 1 species
UAACAUGAAGUAAUUAGGACUCCACUGAUCUUGAACAAAGUGCCACAGACAACUUACCUUUAAAAACUGAUAUAUUGCAAGUCAGUUUCAUUACAGCAUUUUUUCUUACUUUACAGUAUUCAACAGCUCUGAAAUUCAGUGACGGACUAUAACCUUCUAGCUCAUGGACAGCUCUCCAAUGAGAAACAGAAUGGUACAAUUUAAUAGCCCUGACUUUGUUAGCAGACUAUCAGCCCCAAUUCACCAUACCUGAAUGCUCAUCUUAUAUUUUUGGAAAAAAAUACUUGAAUGACCACUGCAAAUUAUCAUUUCUGUCAUCAAUUAAUUGAAACAUUCUCUAUGCCUAGGAAAGGCGGUUAAACCUUUAGAUCUUCAUGUGCUCUCAGCUCUUCAUUUGCUGGAUGCUUGUUCCCAGUUUCAAGAAGAUGGACUGUGUUUCAGGAAAU